rnacentral:rRNA from 1 species
AUUGAACGCUGGCGGCAGGCCUAACACAUGCAAGUCGAACGAGUGGCGGACGGGUGAGUAAUGUCUGGGAAACUGCAUGAUGGAGGGGGAUAACUACUGGAAACGGUAGCUAAUACCGCAUACCAUCAGAUGUGCCCAGAUGGGAUUAGCGUGGUGGUGGGGGAACGGCUCACCAAGGCGACGAUCCCUAACUGGUCUGAGAGGAUGAUCAGGCACACUGGAGCGGAGACACGGUCCAGACUCCUACGGUAGGCAGCAGUGGGGAAUAGUGGACAAUGGGCGAAAGCCUGAUCCAGCCAUGCCGCGUGUGUGAAGAAGGUCUUCGGAUGGUAAAGCACUUUAAGUUGGUGGGCGUUACCAGCAGAAUAAGCACCGGCUAACUUCGUGCCAGCAGCCGCGGUAAUAC